UCCUCAGAGAAUAACAUUUAUGCUGGCAUCCAUUGUCCGUGAUAACUGAAAGACUUGGUGUGGUGCCUCCAGUCGCCGAUACCAGAUGUCUCCUGUGCCUCCCACUAUGCCAACCUCCGAUGACCCAGCCUAACACACCAUCGUCACCACCGCCACCUCUCAGCCUUCCAGGGUGCUCGCUGUCUUCCGGAUUCUGGGAUAUGCUGCUGUCUUCUAGUGAAAUGUGAAGAGAAAGAAUUUAUUCUCAGUAGUUACAGCCACAUCACUAAACUGGAAUCACCUUGCAGGUGUAGAGAAACUGUUCUUAGUUUCUCUAGAACUAUCUAUAUAGGAUUUAUGUCUUAAAACAAUCUCUGGGAGCUAAUGGGACCAUGGAAAGAACGUUUAACACCUUACAGUCAAGAAACGUGUUUCAAACACACUGUUGAAACUUUAUUAUUAUCUUUUAUAUAAAGAUAAAUUAUUAUCUUUUAAAUAAUUUACUUUCUUUGACAGCAGAGUAUAAUAAAAAGGAAAA